CAGCAGCCGCGGUAAUACAGAGGGUGCGAGCGUUAAUCGGAUUUACUUGGCGUAAAGCGUGCGUAGGCGGCUUCUUAAGUCGGAUGUGAAAUCCCUGAGCUUAACUUAGGAAUUGCAUUCGAUACUGGGAAGCUAGAGUAUGGGAGAGGAUGGUAAAAUUCCAGGUGUAGCGGUGAAAUGCGUAUAGAUCUGGAGGAAUACCGAUGGCGAAGGCAGCCAUCUGGCCUAAUACUGACGCUGAGGUACGAAAGCAUGGGUAGCAAACAGGAUUAGAUACCCCGGUAGUCCCUGUCUCUUAUAC
rnacentral:rRNA from 1 species